AGAAAGUCUCAUUGGAACGAAGAAAUGGAGGAAAAAUUAGUGGAACAUUGGCAGGAGCACCAGUGCCUAUUUGAUGUUUCCCCUGAACUGUACCACAACCGGGUGGAGAAAGAGAAGAGUUGGAGAGAAAUUGCCAAUUCUCUUGGACAGUCAGGUACAGAUCCCAAACCACCGGUCGUGUUUGCGAUGUCUCAGUGUGAAUCUACCCCUGGUUCCCGAAUUCUUGGUUGUUUGGCCUCUGGGUUUUCCCCUGCUGAAUCGCUCAAUUUCAAAUGGACUGAUCAAAGCGGAAGUGCCCUGACUGACUUCAUCCAGUAUCCUUCAGUAAGCACUGAUGAUAAGACAAUAAAAAUCAGUCACAUCACUAUUACCAAUGAGAAAUGGAAUCAAAUAGUGUGUGAAGCAGAGCACCCAUCGAAAACAGUUAAACAAGAAUUCAGAAAAGUGAGUCCACACACACCAACUCUGAGCCUGGUUCCUGUAACAACUCAGAAGAGCACAUUUGUCAUCUGUGUUAUUGAGGACUUUUAUCCCAAAGUCCUCACUGUAACAUGGAAAGUUAAUUAUACCAUCAGCCAGAACCAGCCAAAUCUGGAGUACAAAAAGAAUGAAGAUACAGGUCUUUACACUGCUCAGAGUCUUUAUAAAGUUGGCAGUGAGAUAUGGAAUACUAAAACUUCCUAUACUUGUGAGGUCAUGCACCAGAGCAUAAAUCAAUCACAAACAAAAAACUUUAAAGCUACUUUUGCACUGACUCUGAAGCCACCCAUGGAGAGAGAAAUAUUCAACCCAGAUGAAAAAAGUAAAUCCAAAGUUAUCUUAAAGGCUGUUGUUUCUGGAGAUGAGCAAAAUGCAGUGAGAGAUGCUUCGGUGUCAUGCAAAGUAGAGGAUAAAUCUGUAGAUGUGAAAUCAGGUGACGUCCAGACUUCUAAAGACAGCUCACAGUCUAUUAGAAUCCACAAUGUCACUGUUGACCACGAGGAAUGGUUUAAUGGUAAAAUGGUCACCUGUACCACUCGAGACAGAAAUGGAAAAGAAAUCAAGGAGGAGAUCCAUUUUAAUAAAGGAGAUUUAGACAAAAAGGAUCCCAAUGUUUUCAUUUACAGACCAGACAAUGAUACACUCUCUUAUGUUUCUCUGGUGUGUGAGGUCAACAGCCCUCAACUUGGUGAUGUUUAUAUCAUGUGGACAGUGGGCGACGGAAAAUACAUUGAGGCCCCUACCAGUGGUCCAAUCCGCCAUAACAACCGCAUGUCUGUCCUCAGCAUUCUAACAGUGACUGCAGAAGAAUACAAAAAAUACACAAUCUCCUGUGCUGUCAAACAUGCCAGCAGGAACAAUAAACGCUCACCAUUAAUAGUAUCAACAAGCAAAAGUGAGCCACUAGAGCCAGAGACAGGCUUUGCUUUGCACUGCAAUGAAAGUGUUUUGGAGGAGGAUGAGUUCAGAAGUCUCUGGUCCACUGCCACAUCAUUUAUCUUCCUCUUCCUGUUUUCUCUGACCUACAGUGCUCUGCUCAGCUUCUUCAAGAUGAAGCAGUGAAUAUGGAGUGAUUUGGAGGUUAUUUGUUUUUCUUGUCAAAUUGUAUCUUAGUCUAAUAUAUUUUGAAAUCAAAACAAGAAAAGAAACAAUUCUCUGUUGCUCUGUCCAUGACAUUAUUGAUAUUGUUGAUAUUAUUGAUUUAACUGAUAUUUUUGAAACUAUACUGUUUCCCUUUAUCCAAACAUUUUUGGUGAUUAUUGAUAAAGAUGUGCUAAGUGUCAUACACAUCAAUAAAGUCUUAUUCUGUUUA